rnacentral:rRNA from 1 species
AGUGAACGCUGGCGGUAGGCCUAACACAUGCAAGUCGAACGGCAGCACAGUAAGAGCUUGCUCUUACGGGUGGCGAGUGGCGGACGGGUGAGGAAUACAUCGGAAUCUACUUUUUCGUGGGGGAUAACGUAGGGAAACUUACGCUAAUACCGCAUACGACCUACGGGUGAAAGCAGGGGAUCUUCGGACCUUGCGCGAUUGAAUGAGCCGAUGUCGGAUUAGCUAGUUGGCGGGGUAAAGGCCCACCAAGGCGACGAUCCGUAGCUGGUCUGAGAGGAUGAUCAGCCACACUGGAACUGAGACACGGUCCAGACUCCUACGGGAGGCAGCAGUGGGGAAUAUUGGACAAUGGGCGCAAGCCUGAUCCAGCCAUGCCGCGUGGGUGAAGAAGGCCUUCGGGUUGUAAAGCCCUUUUGUUGGGAAAGAAAAGCAGCAGGUUAAUACCCCGCUGCUCUGACGGUACCCAAAGAAUAAGCACCGGCUAACUUCGUG